GGGGGUAUAGCUCAGUGGCAGAGCGUUUGACUGCAGAUCAAGAGGUCCCUGGUUCAAAUCCAGUUGCCCCCU